UACGGGGGGAGCAAGCGUUGUUCGGAUUUACUGGGCGUAAAGGGCGCGUAGGCGGCAGGCCAAGCGUGUGGUGAAAGCCCGGGGCUCAACCCCGGGUCGGCCAUGCGGACUGGCGUGCUUGAGCACUGUAGGGGCGGGUGGAAUUCCGGGUGUAGCGGUGGAAUGCGUAGAGAUCCGGAAGAACACCGGUGGCGAAGGCGGCCCGCUGGGCAGGAAGAUGGAGCGGAUCCAUCGGCUGACGCUGAGGCGCGACAGCGUGGGGAGCAAACAGG
rnacentral:rRNA from 1 species